AGCUAGAGUUUGAUCCUGGCUCAGGACGAACGCUGGCGGCGUGCUUAACACAUGCAAGUCGAACGAGGUUAUAGUGGGAGCUUGCUUCCGGUAUAACCGAGUGGCGGACGGGUGAGUAACGCGUGAGCAACCUGUCUCUGUCAGGGGGAUAACGCCUCGAAAGGGGUGCUAAUACCGCAUGAGACCACAAAACCGCAUGGUAAAGGGGUCAAAGGAGGAAUCCGGACAGAGGUGGGCUCGCGUCCCAUUAGGCAGUUGGCGGGGUAACGGCCCACCAAACCGACGAUGGGUAGCCGACCUGAGAGGGUGAUCGGCCACAUUGGAACUGAGAGACGGUCCAAACUCCUACGGGAGGCAGCAGUGGGGAAUAUUGGGCAAUGGGCGCAAGCCUGACCCAGCAACGCCGCGUGAGGGAAGAAGGUUUUCGGAUUGUAAACCUCUGUCCUUCAAGACGAGAAGAAGACGGUAAUGAAGGAGGAAGCCCCGGCUAACUACGUGCC
rnacentral:rRNA from 1 species